rnacentral:rRNA from 1 species
UAUGAAGGGGGCUAGCGUUGCUCGGAAUCACUGGGCGUAAAGCGCACGUAGGCGGCUUUUUAAGUCAGGGGUGAAAUCCUGGAGCUCAACUCCAGAACUGCCUUUGAUACUGAGAAGCUUGAGUCCGGGAGAGGUGAGUGGAACUGCGAGUGUAGAGGUGAAAUUCGUAGAUAUUCGCAAGAACACCAGUGGCGAAGGCGGCUCACUGGCCCGGUACUGACGCUGAGGUGCGAAAGCGUGGGGAGCAAACAGG